rnacentral:rRNA from 1 species
UACGUAGGGUGCGAGCGUUAAUCGGAAUUACUGGGCGUAAAGCGUGCGCAGGCGGUUUUGUAAGCCAGAUGUGAAAGCCCCGGGCUUAACCUGGGAAUGGCAUUUGGGACUGCAAGGCUUGAGUGCGGUAGAGGGGGAUGGAAUUCCGCGUGUAGCAGUGAAAUGCGUAGAUAUGCGGAGGAACACCGAUGGCGAAGGCAAUCCCCUGGGCCUGCACUGACGCUCAUGCACGAAAGCGUGGGGAGCAAA